UGUCUGACUUCUGGCAAGAUACUCAGCCCUCUUUCUGCCCCCAUUUCUCACGUAGGAAGUGACAAUAUCAAUGUAGCUCUCUGAAGCAGGUUGCUGGGGCCCUUGGAUGGGCUCAUCAACGUGCAAACCUCAGAACACAAAAGGAGAAUCUGAAGACGCGUUAGAGUUGCAUGCCUCCCGGCAGACACUGAGAAGUCCCUUAAGCACAUGGCAGCAAGAUGGAGGAUGUGCCCCUGCCCCGGAGAAGCUCACAGACCAGUGGGCGAAUCAGACGUGGGCCCGACAGUCGUCACAUGCGUUCCUACAGAGCAGGACCCAGGAGCUGCGUCUACUCUAGGAGGACAGAGCAAGUCCAUCCAACUUUGUUCUGCUUUUGUUUGAAAGCAGAGUCUCUCCUGGAAUGGCUCAUCAUUUCUGGUGGUAGUUUUUCUCCUCUCGCUGCCCUCCAUCGUCUUGAGAUGGGAACACCCUGGAAACAUGAGACACAGAGAGAGAGAGCUCAAGAAGGGCAGGGGGCAAAGGGAGAAAGAGAGAGAAUCUCAAGCCGGCCCCAUGCCCAGUGCAGCCCAACGACCCUGGGAUCAUGACCUGAGCCAAAAACAAGAGUCAGGUGCUCAACCGACUGAGCCACCCAGGCACUGCUACCCUGUCUUUUUCUUAAGAAGCUCGAGAAAACCCGCAGUGAUGAUGGAGGGGAGAGGAGAAGGGGUCUGUGUAUUCGGGGUGGGAAGGCAGCAUCGUGGUGACUGCACCUCCAAGGCCUAAGGCUCUCCCCAUUCACUGCGCGGCGUUACAUCUGACAAAACCAGCCCCGGACUUUAAGUGGCAAAUUAUAGCCUGGCUGUAUAACAGCUCUCGAUCUCAUGUAUUCACUUUUUUUUUUUUUUUUGAAUUCCUAAAAAAAUCACGGCAGUACAUCAGCAUGGCCCCCUGCCCCCCGCACUGGGGAAGUUUGAUAAUGUAUGUCCUAACUGCUUAAUUGAUUGAUUACCUCACGGCAGCUUCCUGAGGUACCGAAUUUAUCUCUAAUAGCCAGAGUCAGGCUCUGCAGACAACCGUGGGGGGGACCGGGGUCCCUUGGUGUCGAUUUGCUCUUAACUGGAAAGUCAUUACCACUUAAUACAUGUAGAUUGUGUUGAAAGAAAAUUAUGUGUAAUGAAAUGAGGGAAAAAUUAGUGGAGUGUUAUGGGCGAAAGCAGAUGUUACAGAGAAAUUAUGCUAGCAGAGAUAAUCACCUUCGUUGGUAUUGUGUGUGCUGGGGUGUUAACUGAAGAGGAGGAGGGGACAGGGCUGAAGGAGGGCCCUGAUCGGCACAGACUCGCCCCCCCCAGAAACUGCCGCACGGGAUGGGCCCCCCAGGACCCGGCAGCCGGGCCUCUGUAGCUUGGCCCACCCAAACCUGGGACCCCUCUGCCCUGCGGUCUCCCAGGAUGCCUGGUCGCAAAGAAUCUACCCGCGGGUCUGGGGAGAGACAGGGUGGAGGAACUAGGGAUGCCUCCUGCCAACUGAGGCGGGUGGAAAGCAUGGGGCUCUCAUUGCUACAGCCUUAGUUGAAUCUGGGCGAAAGCAAAGCCCCAAACUCCUCCCCCCCAUCUCAAACAAA